UACGAAGGGGGCUAGCGUUGCUCGGAAUCACUGGGCGUAAAGCGCACGUAGGCGGGUCUUUAAGUCGGAGGUGAAAUCCUGGAGCUCAACUCCAGAACUGCCUUCGAUACUGGACGGCUCGAGACCGGAAGAGGUCAGUGGAACUGCGAGUGUAGAGGUGAAAUUCGUAGAUAUUCGCAAGAACACCAGUGGCGAAGGCGGCUCACUGGCCCGGUACUGACGCUGAGGUGCGGAAAGCGUGGGAGCAACAGGG
rnacentral:rRNA from 1 species